CAGCAGCCGCGGGAAUACGAAGGGUGCAAGCGUUAAUCGGAAUUACUGGGCGUAAAGCGUGCGUAGGCGGUGAGUUAAGUCUGCUGUGAAAUCCCCGGGCUCAACCUGGGAAUGGCAGUGGAUACUGGCUCGCUAGAGUGUGUCAGAGGAUGGUGGAAUUCCCGGUGUAGCGGUGAGAUGCGUAGAGAUCGGGAGGAACAUCAGUGGCGAAGGCGGCCAUCUGGGACAACACUGACGCUGAGGCACGAAAGCGUGGGGAGCAAACAGGAUUAGAUACCCCCGUAGUCCCUGUCUCUUAUAC
rnacentral:rRNA from 1 species